rnacentral:rRNA from 1 species
AGGGAAACUUCUGCUAAUACCGCAUAAGAACCACGAACUGGGAUGUUAGUGGUAAAAGGAGCAAUUCACUUUAGGAUGAGCCUGCGUCCUAUCAGGUAGUUGGUGAGGUAGAAGCUCACCAAGCCUAUGACGGGUAGCCGGUCUAAGAGGACGAACGGCCACACUGGAACUGAGACACGGUCCAGACUCCUACGGGAGGCAGCAGUGGGGAAUAUUGCACAAUGGGCGAAAGCCUGAUGCAGCGACGCCGCGUGGAGGAUGACGGCCUUCGGGUUGUAAACUCCUUUUGCAGGGGAAGAUAAUGACGGUACCCUGCGAAUAAGCCACGGCUAACUCUGUGCCAGCAGCCGCGGUAAGACAGAGGUGGGCGAGCGUUGUUCGGAAUUACUGGGCUUAAAGGGCGCGUAGGCGGUGAUAUAAGUCUGGGGUGGAAUCCUGCAGCUCAACUGUGGGACUGCCCUGGAAACUGUAUUGCUUGAGUCGGACAGGGGAAGGCGGAAUUCCAGGUGUAGCGGUGAAAUGCGUAGAUAUCUGGAGGAAGGCCUGUGGUGAAGACGGCCUUCUGGGUCUUGACUGACGCUGAGGCGCGAAAGCGUGGGGAGCAAACAGGAUUAGAUACCCU